CACGGGGGCCCCAAGUGUUGUCCGAUAUUAUUGGGCGUAAAGAGUUCUGUAGGCGUUCAAGUAAGUUAUAGGUUAAAUCUAUCGGCUCAACCGGUAGCCUGCUUGUAAUACUGCUUGGAUAGAGGUAGACAGGGGAAAGCGGAACGCAUGGUGUAGCGGUGGAAUGCGUUGAUAUCAUGCGGAACACCGAAGGCGUAGGCAGCUUUCUGGGUCUUACCUGACGCUGAGAGACGAAAGCGUGGGUAGCGAAACGG
rnacentral:misc_RNA from 1 species